rnacentral:rRNA from 1 species
AAGCUCGUAGUUGAAUUUCGGGAUCAAUUUAUUGGUCGUGCUAUUGUACGUACUGGUAUUAUUGAUUCCUACCUUCUGACGAACCAUGAUGUCAUUAAUUUGGUGUCAUGGGGAAUCAGGACUGUUACUUUGAAAAAAUUAGAGUGUUUAAAGCAGGCUCACGCUUGAAUACAUUAGCAUGGAAUAACGAAAUAGGACGUUUGAUUCUAUUUUGUUGGUUUCUAGGAUCGACGUAAUGAUUAAUAGGGAUAGUUGGGGGCAUUUGUAUUCCGUUGCUAGAGGUGAAAUUCUUGGAUUUACGGAAGACAAACUUCUGCGAAAGCAUUUGCCAAGGAUGUUUUCAUUAAUCAAGAACGAAGGUUAGGGGAUCGAAAACGAUCAGAUACCGUUGUAGUCUUAACAGUAAACUAUGCCGACUAGGGAUCGGACGACCUCUUUUUUAUGUGUCGUUCGGCACCU